rnacentral:rRNA from 1 species
UCCGGUUGAUCCUGCCGGAGGCCACUGUUAUGGGGGUCCGACUAAGCCAUGCGAGUCAUGGGGCGCGCUCUGCGCGCACCGGCGGACGGCUCAGUAACACGUCGGUAACCUACCCUCGGGAGGGGGAUAACCCCGGGAAACUGGGGCUAAUCCCCCAUAGGCCUGAGGUACUGGAAGGUCCUCAGGCCGAAAGGGUCUCUGACCGCCCGAGGAUGGGCCGGCGGCCGAUUAGGUAGUUGGUGGGGUAACGGCCCACCAAGCCGAAGAUCGGUACGGGCCAUGAGAGUGGGAGCCCGGAGAUGGACACUGAGACACGGGUCCAGGCCCUACGGGGCGCAGCAGGCGCGAAACCUCCGCAAUGCGGGCAACCGCGACGGGGGGACCCCCAGUGCCGUGGCAUCGCCACGGCUUUUCCGGAGUGUAAAAAGCUCCGGGAAUAAGGGCUGGGCAAGGCCGGUGGCAGCCGCCGCGGUAAUACCGGCGGCCCGAGUGGUGGCCGCUAUUAUUGGGCCUAAAGCGUCCGUAGCCGGGCCCGUAAGUCCCUGGCGAAAUCCCACGGCUCAACCGUGGGGCUUGCUGGGGAUACUGCGGGCCUUGGGACCGGGAGAGGCGGGGGGUACCCCUGGGGUAGGGGUGAAAUCCUAUAAUCCCAGGGGGACCGCCAGUGGCGAAGGCGCCCCGCUGGAACGGGUCCGACGGUGAGGGACGAAGGCCAGGGGAGCGAACCGGAUUAGAUACCCGGGUAGUCCUGGCUGUAAAGGAUGCGGGCUAGGUGUCGGGCGAGCUUCGAGCUCGCCCGGUGCCGAAGGGAAGCCGUUAAGCCCGCCGCCUGGGGAGUACGGCCGCAAGGCUGAAACUUAAAGGAAUUGGCGGGGGAGCACUACAAGGGGUGGAGCGUGCGGUUUAAUUGGAUUCAACGCCGGGAACCUCACCGGGGGCGACGGCAGGAUGAAGGCCAGGCUGAAGGUCUUGCCGGACGCGCCGAGAGGAGGUGCAUGCCGCCGUCAGCUCGUACCGUGAGGCGUCCACUUAAGUGUGGUAACGAGCGAGACCCGCGCCCCCAGUUGCCAGUCCUCCCCGCUGGGGAGGAGGCACUCUGGGGGGACCGCCGGCGAUAAGCCGGAGGAAGGAGCGGGCGACGGUAGGUCAGUAUGCCCCGAAACCCCCGGGCUACACGCGCGCUACAAUGGGCGGGACAAUGGGAUCCGACCCCGAAAGGGGAAGGGAAUCCCCUAAACCCGCCCCCAGUUCGGAUCGCGGGCUGCAACUCGCCCGCGUGAAGCUGGAAUCCCUAGUACCCGCGUGUCAUCAUCGCGCGGCGAAUACGUCCCUGCUCCUUGCACACACCGCCCGUCACUCCACCCGAGCGGGGUCUGGGUGAGGCCUGAUCUCCCUUCGGGGAGGUCGGGUCGAGCCUGGGCUCCGUGAGGGGGGAG